AUGGUUAUUCACAGCAAACUGCCUUGGGCCUCUUUUCUGACCACGGGAAGUUUGUUUGGAUCAGUAGGUUACAAACACUGGAGCGCAUUGACGAUCAAGGUGCGCCUUCCAAAUGGCAAAGUGGUAGAUGGGUGGCUCAACUAUCAUUCGUCCUUUUGCGAUCUCGCCGUUGUCGGCACCAAUUCCUUGCUGCACUUCCUGCGCUCACAUAAUCUUCGUGUAGCAUGUCUCGAUGACAACAUGCAAGUUGAUUCGGUGGCCGGGGUAUUAGCUGUAAGGCGGUGCUUCGACUCAGGCAAAUUAGUGUACACCAGAGGGUCACUGACUGGUGGAAUUCAAAACGAAGAGCUUAAUUUGCCACUGACUGGUGCAAUUCAAGACAAAGAGCUUAAUUUUUCCACAUGCAAAAUCACCGAGGCUGCCAGUGGAGGACCACUUGUUGAUUGUGAUGGGAAUAUUGUUGGAAUGAACUACUAUGGCGGGAAAAUAACUCCAUUCCUACCAAGUAAUCUAAUUUUUGACCUCCUUGGGCUUGAGAUGUUCUGGGCUGCAAGUGAAGAAGAUCAUCGCUGUACAGAUGAGACAGAAGAAUCUUAUAGCGACAGUCCGAAAGAACUCACUGACGACCAACUUGAACGUAUACUUGCUCCCUGGCCUGCUUCCGGUGAUGACUUUAAGGAUAGAGCAAAUGAGAUGCUAAGGACUGCUGGUCAUCCCUUGCCAAAGUUUGCUGAUGAUGGCAUGUACUUGAAAGAGGGUUUUGACGAUGAAUUCGGCAACGGUAAUUGGAGUGAACCAACCAGGACAGUUGCUUCAAAGAUGUCUCUAAGUGUUGUGGCACUUGCUUCAUUCAUCGUAGAAUAUGAUUCUACUGGGGAGCACGACAAGGAGAAAAGAAGAAAGCAUUUUGCUUGCACAGGUGUAAUUAUAGUGUGCGAUGGAUCCACUGCAAGAGUUCUGAUUUCAGCAAGUUUAGUUAGAACUUCUGGUGAAGAAAACAACAUUCAUCCUGGAUUGAAGAUUGAAGUGUGCCUUUGGAGCGAAAGACGUGUGGACGGGACAUUGCAACAUUAUGACUUGCACUAUAAUGCAGCUAUUGUCAGCAUCGAGGGUGCCUGCAGUUAUUGUGCGGCAAACCUUGAUGAACCAUCUAAAACUGAUGAGGUAGUAGCUCUAGGGCGCGCCUUCGAAUCAGGCGAGUUAAUGGCCACGAACGGGGCUGUGACUGGUGAAAGUAGCAGAUUUGAUUGCAAAGAGCUUCGGAUGUCCACUUGUACAAUUACCAAGGCUGGGAUUGGAGGGCCCCUUGUUGAUUUUGAUGGGAACUUUGUUGGCAUGAACUUCUAUGACAUGGAACAAACUCCUUAUCUGCCAAGGGAUAUAAUCCUGGAAGUCAUCAGGCGUUUUGAUGCAAAACGGACUGCUGCUGCUGCUGUCGAGGCUACAGAAGAGUCUGAAUUUCACAGCUGGCCCGUGCCCGACGCCUACUGGGUUUAUCCGAGUCGUUACCCCGAACCCCCGCGCCCUCCUGCAAGCUUUGAGUUGGAGUAA
rnacentral:rRNA from 1 species